rnacentral:rRNA from 1 species
UACGCCUUGGUGCUCUUUGCCAUGUUGGACCCACACCAAUCCAUCUCGAACUUGGUUGUGAAAUAGCAUGGGGCUUUUAUGGUACUAGAUGGGCCGCUGUCUGGGAAAUAAAAGCUAGUGCCAGGGAAUA